rnacentral:lncRNA from 1 species
CAGGAUGUAACAGGCCCUUCAGACCCCCUGCUGGCUAGGAAGACAGACCCGGCAUCCAUCAACACCCUUCACUACAGCAGCAAGAACUUGCCCCUCCUCUACUCCCCUCGCCUGGCCAGCAGUGUGCACAGGGAACUGGUCACGUGGUUCGCAGGGAGAGUUCCAGGAAAUAAUUCCCAGAACCCUGACCAGGCUCCAACUGACAGCUCUGCCCCUGGUGAUGGAGAGGGAAGCAGCCCCUUGUAUUUAACCAGGUCCUCUACUACCCUGUGUGCUACUGUUAAAUGUAACUCAGAAACAAGUACACACUUGAGGUCAACAAUGUCAGAGUUAUAGCUUAAAGCUUUACUCUAGUCUAUAUCCCAAGUACAGUAGUUGGAAGUUUCAAAAUGUCUUACUGUGGAUCUGACU